AAAGGAGAGAGUUAAAGUGGGAAAGUUUCAUUUCUGCCUGAGGAAACGACACGACUAAACAAUUAGCUGUGGAUAAUAAACAAUAAAUAGUUUCUGUGCCAAUGCAGCCAGUUGGAGCCGAGCUCUAACCGUCGCCGUGAGGCGUCGGUUGCUGCGUGUCGGCAGCAUGCAGGCGGACAACGGCCCUGUGGAUGCAGGAGCAUAAACAAAGCCCGCUGCAGGCAGAUAAGCAGCAGGAACGCUGCCUUCUGCUCACAUGCAAAUAAAAACCAAAUACUGCGCUGCUGCGUCAGUCAAUUUGAAUACCGGUCCGUCUUGAGCAACCCUGAGGAAUGUUCCUGCUGUGGCAACAAAAACGGAGUUGAGAAAUCUCUGCAACGGUUGCUGUUGCUUUGCUGUUGCUGGGAAACUUUCCAGGGAUUUUCCAGGUCCUGGAAAACAGGCAGGUUUUCUUCUUAGAGGGGAUCAAUUAUGCAAAACUCACAUUGUCAGGUUUUUGUUCCAUUUGGGUUUCAAUCGUCUUUUUUACAGCCUGUUGACUCCGAGUUGGACUGAAAUCUCCCUCUGGGAUUAAGAAAGUAUAGUAUUACUAAGCACUAUAUAUUUAGGAGCGCCAUCAGCAGAGCAGAGGAACUCCAGUUUGCAGAUUAGCAGCGCGGCUAAAAGCUGAUCCUCAGGCGGCGCCUUUGUCAGCAGGAAGUCACGGCGUAUGAGACCGCAGACCACCGGAAAAAAACAGGUGAAGCUCAGCUCGGUUUCCAUGGUUACUACAACUUCCUGUGAGGCUCAAAACACUCGCAGAGGCUCUGCAGCACAAAAAGGAGAUGAAUUUUAUUGGGUCGGCAUCAACUGACUGAAGCUUCUCCUGAUCAGAGACUGACGUCCUUUCUCACUUCUGCAGGAAACCAGAGUGAAAACACCUGAGAUCGUCCUUCCUCCAAGUUUUCCCCCAAGCAGACAGACUCUCCUCUGGUCUAUUAAAGUUCUUCUGCUAAACGUUUUAGUUGCUUUUUCCCUUCAUUUCUUUGUAAUAUUCAGGAAUCGAUGUCUAAUCAAUGAGUUGAUUGAUUUAAUAAGUGAUCAAUAUUUAGCUGAAACACGUUUCCUGUCGUCUCCUAAAAACAAAAUCUGGUAAACAAGCCAGCGAGUCGGCAGGAUGUGCGGGUUCUGCUGGAGGACAGGCUGUUCCUGAAGAACGGUGCAGCUUCCUCCGCAAACAGGAAACAGGCAAAACGAUCAGAACAAUCAGAACAAUCGGAACAAGAUCAGAACAAUCAGAACAAUCAGAACAAGAUCAGAAC